rnacentral:rRNA from 1 species
AGAGUUUGAUCCUGGCUCAGAAUGAACGUUGGCGGCGUGGAUUAGGCAUGCAAGUCGAACGGGCCGCAAGGCCAGUGGCGCAAGGGUGAGUAAGGCGACGGUAACCAACCCCACGAUUGGGUAUAGCCGCGGGAAACCGCGGGUAAUCCCCAGCGACGCAACGACACCGGCCUCGGUGUUUUGCCAAAGCUUCGGCGUCGUGGGACGGGCUGUCGUGGUAUUAGCUUGUUGGCGGGGUAAUGGCCCACCAAGGCGGCGAUGCCUACCGGGCGUGCGAGCGCGACCCGGCACACUGGGACUGAGACACUGCCCAGACUCCUACGGGAGGCUGCAGUCGAGAAUCUUCGGCAAUGGGCGCAAGCCUGACCGAGCGACGCCGCGUGGAGGACGAAGGCCUUCGGGUUGUAAACUCCUGUCGAGGGGGAAGAAGGCUCCGCAAGGGGCUUGACUGAUCCCUGGAGGAAGCACGGGCUAAGUUCGUGCCAGCAGCCGCGGUAAGACGAACCGUGCGAACGUUAUUCGGAAUCACUGGGCUUAAAGCGCGUGUAGGCGGAUGAGCACGUCUGUCGCUGAAAUCCCCCGGCUCAACCGGGGAACGGGCGCGGAUACGGCUUGUCUGGAGGGGCGUAGGGGGACCUGGAACUUCCGGUGGAGCGGUGAAAUGCGUUGAGAUCGGAAGGAACGCCCGUGGCGAAAGCGAGGUCCUGGACGCCUACUGACGCUGAGACGCGAAAGCCAGGGGAGCGAACGGGAUUAGAUACCCCGGUAGUCCUGGCCGUAAACGAUGGGCACUGGGUAGGGGGCUCGCCGAUGGGCUCCCUGCCGUAGGGAAACCGUGAAGUGCCCCGCCUGGGGAGUAUGGUCGCAAGGCUGAAACUUAAAGGAAUUGACGG